CCUAGGAUGGUUGACAAUUGUAGAAUACCUGAGUCUGAUAGGUACUUUGGCUUGCCUCACAGUCAUUUUUAGGCAGGUGGUACCUUUAAUUCAGGCCACACAAACAAAUGAUUUGGGACAUUGAACAUCAAGGGAGAGUUAGGUUUUUUAAAAAGAGGAAAGGGAGCUAAGAGUAAGGAGGAGAGUGCCUGUAGAUCCCAAAGGCUGGCUUAGAAAAAUCGACACCAUAAGUAGAGAUCUUAUCCUUUUUAAGCACAUGGAUGCAUGCCACUAGCAUGCUUUCUUUAAGAUAAUCAAAAUGUUUCUGUUAGAAUGUUUGUAAUAAAAAGCCAUAUGUAUCCUGUGUUAUUGCUGGUCCAGUUCUGGGGUAACACCUCAAAGAAUAAAGAGAGAAAGUACAAAAACUGAAGUGACUUUACAUGUAGGAAAACUUUUUUUGGCCAACAUUUCUCUUUAGAAUAUUAGAUUAUGGUUCUGGUAGAAUCAUCUCAGACUUGUUUUGAUUAUUUUAUUUCAGGGGAAUAUUGCAGUUUAAAAACGUCUCAUAUGGAAUUGAACCAAUGGAGGCUGUAUCAGGAUUCAUGCACAUGAUUUAUGAAGAAAAAAAUGAUGACAGUAAUAUUCCUCUGUUGUGGGAAAAUGACACUUACAGCUAUAGGAGGAACUCAGAGUAUCCUGUCAGAAAAGGUUCAGAAAGACCUCAGUAUUUCAAGUUAUUCCCCCAGUAUCUUGAGAUGUAUAUUGUUGUGGAUAAAAAUAUGUUUGAUUUCAUGGGCUCUGAUAUAAAAGCUGUAACACAGAAGGUUAUUCAGAUCAUUGGC